CCCUAUGGGGUGCUCGGCGGUAUUGGUCUUGGAACCGGAUACAUCACGCCGGUAUCGACUUUGAUAAAAUGGUUUCCGGAUAAAAGAGGAAUGGCGACCGGCAUAGCGAUUAUGGGGUUCGGCUUCGCGGCGUUUAUCAGCAGUUUCGCAAUGAAAAAACUUAUGUCCAUCGAAUCAAUCGGUGUUGAAGGUAUGUUUUAUGUUCUUGGCGCAAUAUAUUUUGUUGUAAUGUUCAUCUCGGCACAAUAUUUAGCUCCGCCGCCACAAGGAUGGAUGCCUGCCGGUUUCAAGGCGAAAUUAGAUAACGGUACUAAAAAAAUCAAAGCUGACCUUUCGCAGCUAACGGCAAAUGAAGCGGUGAAAACAUUGCGAUUUUAUUUUCUGUGGGUGAUGCUGUUUAUUAAUAUUUCCUGCGGCAUAGCGAUAAUUUCGGUUGCCUCGCCGAUGGGGCAGGAAUUGGCGGGGGGGC
rnacentral:rRNA from 1 species